AGGUGACAGUCCAUUUCCAACUGCAGCUGCACUACCGUUGCGACAUUACUGGUGCGACAUUACUGCAGCGGCCGACUGCUGCUGCUUGCGGCGUGCAGUCGCGGCAGCGUUCGUCAGUUGACUGUCAAUGUCAAUGAGUUAUGAAUAAUGUCACUGUCAGACGUAUAAAUAAAAUUACUGAUUUACUUAUUUGUAUAUUUUACGAGAAGAAGUAAGUGACGAUAAUGCUACAUUGUAUACGAAAAUGAAGAACAGAUUUGCCUUUCUACAAGAAUCACAGUCAGUCCAAGGCAGUUACGCAAUAUUAUUAAAAACCAGAUAUUGAAUUGUGAUCGUUUGUAUGCCGAUUAAAUAAAUAGCAAUUUAACUUCAAAUCGAAGAAAUACAACCAAAUUACUCGAAUGAAAUUAAUGCAGAGGAGCAAAUAUUUCUUAACUUAAGGUGUCCAUAGGCGACGGCACUCGUGGUCGGGGCAGAUACAGUGUAUGACUAGACCUUAUAAAACUUGACGGGCGAGACAAGAAAUCCUUUAUGAAGAAAGCUAUUUACGUCAGCCAAGAAGGGGCUGAUAGAAAGAAUUUUGAAUAAAUUAAUCGGAAUAAUACAUAUUUUCCUCGUGUUGAAGUGAUGAAAAAAUUUCGUGUUGCACUCUGUAGCAAAGUUUAUUUAACUCUCAUUCCUUGAAUCCCCGCAACUGUCAAUAAAAUUUUACUUUUAAAACCGU